UACACGACUUGAGCGCCGCGAUUUCGCACGCGCCAAAAAAUCGGAGUCGAAGAUCGGCGCUUAAGGUUGCAGGAGUAGUUGUAGUGAAUCUGUUGAGAGUUUGCGGAUACAAAAUUUUCUUCACAGUGUAAAUAAGAUCGGCAAGGUCUCGAGAUGGCCCUGAUCGUUGACAAGACCCGUUAUCACGUGAUAUCGACUGCCGAACGUGAAAACGAGAGCGCGGAAGCUGCGGUAGACUUUGAAACUGCGGUAUCGGCCACUGGGUAUGGACUAUUCAACGUGCUUCUUCUGAUGGCGGCGAUUCCGGCCGGAUGGACAACGGUCUUCGACACUUCGACCACCGCAUUCAUCAUGCCAUCGGCGGAGUGUGAGCUUGAUCUAAGCCUUUUUCGAAAGGGGUUAUUGGCCGCCAGUACUUACGCAGGAAUGAUAUGCAUCGCUGUUGUGUGGGGCUUUAUAGCGGACCAUAUAGGAAGAAAGUACCUUUUGCUCUUCGGCCUGAUCUCAGACACGCUUUGCAACGUCUUUGGCAGUGCCGCCCAGAGCUACUACGUUUACCUGUCGUUCAAAUUCACCAGCGGUAUAAUCGUUGGCGGUCCUUUUGCUAUCCUGAUGACGUACAUCGCUGAAUUUCACGGCGAACGUCAUCGGAGCAGAGUUCUUAUGUGGACGGGAUCGCUGUUCGCCCUGGGAAACGUCGCGGUUCCAGCAUUGUCCAGAGCCGUGUUGCCCCGGACAUGGUCGUUUUCGCUAUUCAACAAUUCGCUGAUCUUUGACGCUUGGAGAAUAUUUUUGUUGAUCUGCGCACUGCCACCGUUUCUGGGAUUCGUGGCGAUGUGGAGCUUUCCAGAGAGUCCGAAAUUCCUCAUGACCAAGGGGAGAUCGGAGGAGGCUCUCAAAGUAUUUCGACGAAUGUAUUCGAUGAACACUGGAAAGCCGGAGGACGAUUAUCCGGUGAAAAUUUUGCGAAUAGAGAACGUGGCCAAGCUUCAAACGCCAUUGGAACCAGCGAACAGAUCAUCUCGUGAUGGAUUGCGGAGAAGUUUUUAUCGCAUGAAAUUCCUCUUCCCAACACCAUAUAUCUUCCCUCUAUUCACCAUCAAUGUGAUUAUUUUCGCAAGCAUGACCGGGAUGCACGUAAUGAAAUCGUGGCUACCCCAGCUAAUCGUUAUUCUGAACAACUUCGACCCCAAGGAGUCGGACGACUCUCCCAUCGUGCCGACAAUUUGUGAAAAACUUAACGUCCAAGCCAUCGAAGCUUUUGGUGCCCAGGCGGCUCUUGCUCUUGGCAAUAGAACCGAGACUUGCAUUACGAUGAUUGUUUCAACCACAGUUUAUACCAAUGCUACCAUCAUUGCCGCGUCCGCAGUUACGGGCUCUUUCUUAGUCGGGGCCAUCGUCAACAAGUGGUAUCUCUGGUGUCCGGAGGAUCGUGUUAUCUGGGUUUGAGCUUCUCACCGUCGACGACGAUAUUCCUCGUACUUUGUUCGGCGAUUAUCGCACUUACGGGUAUAUCGACGAACGCGAUAACCUCGAUGAUAAUCGAGGUCGUCCCAACGAGCCUGAGAGCUACCGCUGUAAGCGUCACCCUGAUGACGGGCAGAUUCGGAGCACUGACUGGAAAUUUAUUGUUUCCUAUACUUCUAAAUGUAUCCUGCGACGCCCCGUUCUACUACAUCGGUGGAUUUCUCACGU
rnacentral:misc_RNA from 1 species